rnacentral:rRNA from 1 species
GAUGAACGCUGGCGGCGUGCUUAACACAUGCAAGUCGAGCGAGUGAGUUCUUCGGAACGAUCUAGCGGCGGACGGGUGAGUAACACGUGGGCAACCUGCCUCAUAGAGGGGAAUAGCCUCCCGAAAGGGAGAUUAAUACCGCAUAAAAUUAUCGAGUGGCAUCACACGGUAAUCAAAGGAGUAAUCCGCUAUGAGAUGGGCCCGCGGCGCAUUAGCUAGUUGGUGAGGUAACGGCUCACCAAGGCGACGAUGCGUAGCCGACCUGGGAGGGUGAUCGGCCACAUUGGGACUGAGACACGGCCCAGACUCCUACGGGAGGCAGCAGUGGGGAAUAUUGCACAAUGGGGGAAACCCUGAUGCAGCAACGCCGCGUGAGUGAUGAAGGUCUUCGGAUUGUAAAGCUCUGUCUUUGGGGACGAUAAUGACGGUACCCAAGGAGGAAGCCACGGCUAACUACGUGCCAGCCGCCGCGGUAA